UGCCUACGGGAGGCAGCAGUGGGGAAUAUUGCACAAUGGGCGAAAGCCUGAUGCAGCGACGCCGCGUGAGUGAAGAAGUAUUUCGGUAUGUAAAGCUCUAUCAGCAGGGAAGAAAAUGACGGUACCUGACUAAGAAGCCCCGGCUAACUACGUGCCAGCAGCCGCGGUAAUACGUAGGGGGCAAGCGUUAUCCGGAUUUACUGGGUGUAAAGGGAGCGUAGACGGCGAAGCAAGUCUGAAGUGAAAACCCA
rnacentral:rRNA from 1 species